rnacentral:rRNA from 1 species
UACGAAGGGGGCUAGCGUUGUUCGGAAUCACUGGGCGUAAAGGGCGCGUAGGCGGCCGAUUAAGUCGGGGGUGAAAGCCUGUGGCUCAACCACAGAAUUGCCUUCGAUACUGAUUGGCUUGAGACCGGAAGAGGUCAGUGGAACUGCGAGUGUAGAGGUGAAAUUCGUAGAUAUUCGCAAGAACACCAGUGGCGAAGGCGGCUCACUGGCCCGGUACUGACGCUGAGGCACGAAAGCGUGGGGAGCAAACAGG